AUGGGAAGACUACGGAAAGCCUGUCCCAAGGAUGUCCCGCUUGUUUCUUUAGUUGAGAGUGCUGAUUCUUUAAAAGAACCUUUCGUGCCUAACGAUUUUGCUGAUGAUAAUGUUAUGUCUUUGGAUUCUUCUGGUGAUGAUGAAGAGCUUGGCAAAGCACUUUACAAUUUCUAUGUGAAAAAUAAAGUCAAGCACCUGAAGAGGAAAUUGUCUUCUGUUAGUAGAAGGAAUGUUAGGCAGAAACGAUCUUCUGAUUUCCCUGUUUGUUCGACGUUCACUCGAUACUCUGGAAAGUUCUUCUCGGGAGUUGUUGAUGGCAUGUGUUCUAGGUACAAGGAUGUUAUUCAGAUGUAUGACAUGGGUUGUCUCCUUAAUUUUGUCCGGAUCGAGGUUCCUCUUAGGCUAGUUAAGUGGCUUGCAUCUAGGUUCGACGUUCCUGCUUCCGAGUUUCAGUUGAAAAGGAAAUUCAUACCCUUAACUAAGUAUGAUAUCCAUGACAUCCUUGACCUCCCAGUAGAUGGUGAGCCACUUGUUUCAGAUCGUGAGGCUGGUCGUGAUUUUAUCCUCUCUCAUUUCAAUCUUACUAGUAUCCCACCAGUGUCCUUUUUUGCCAACAAGCUUAAAUCUGUAGAAGUUGAUUUUCUUAAUGAGGACGUCUUCAUUUGUUUCAUGAUUGUGGCUUUCUUUACUUUCCUUUGUCCCAACUCUAGCCUCAAUCCUAGUCUGAAGUACCUCCACAUCUUUCAGGAUUGUCAGUCUGUGCGUUCCUAUGAUCUUUCUAGUUUUAUUUACGAGUGGCUUUUGAGUGGCAUCAAAAAAUUCAAGGAUGCUACUAAAGUUGCCUCCAAAAGAUCAGUGACCUUCGGUGGAUGCCAUUAUGCAUUUGCCGUAGCUUACCUUGAUCAUUUGAACUUUGGGCUUCAGUCUGUACCUGAUGUGAAACCUCGCAGUAAGAGUUUUGAUAUUGGCCCUUCUGAUGGUUCUUUUGCAAUGAAAGUUCAAAGAACUAUUUGCCCUCACUUUGGAUCUCAGACUGCUCUUGAAGUCAUUGAGCUUGUUCAGACUAGAAACCAAGACAAACCUAAGAUAUUCAUUGAUUGGGCAGAGUCUCUUGUUUUAAAUGUUCUGGAAUGUAACAAGUCUGUCUCAUUUCAUUCUGCUAUCGCCAAUGGUGUUUUUGCUAAAUCUGAUGGUAUUCCAGAGGUUGCUAUAUCUGAUGCUAUUCCGGAGGUUGCUAAAUCUGAUGUUGCCCUAGAGGUUCCUACGUCUGAUGCUAUUCCAGAGGUUGCUACAUCUGAUGGUAUUCCAGAGGCUGUUGUACAGCAAGAGAGUCGUCCUGCGGUCACUCCAGAUGUCGUUACUCCCAUUGUCCCUCUUGUUGUUAUCUUUGGUGGUUUAGAUAAUCCAGUUGUUCUAUCUAGCUCUUCAACACCUGCUAAAGUGCAUAAUGAGGCUGUUGCAAAAGAAGGUCCUAUUCCAGUAUGCGCCUUGUUUUCUGAAGUUAAAACAAAAGAUUCAAUUGCUGCAGUUCCUGCCAAAGGUAUUUCUCCUUCAAAGUCUAAAUGUGAUAUUACUGAUGUCGAUUCUUUCGUGUUGCUUUCAGAUGGCCCUGCUAAGGAUUGUAAUGAGAAAGAUGCUGCUAACAGUUUUGGGAUUCCUUCCUUUGCCGAGCUUAAUCGUGCUCUUGGUAUUCAGUCUCCUUCUAAUGUCUGCAAUUACACCCCAGUUCAUGCUCAUGGAAAAUCUCCUAUGGAAGAUACAAAUUCUUUUAGAGACCUGUCACCCCUUGUUCCAAUUCGCUUGUCGCAGUAUUUCCGUAAUGAGUUGGGUGAUGUCCAGUGUUCUCAGUAUGUUGCCGACAGAUAUCUGAAGUUGUUUAAUUCACCUAAUGAUGAGGAUUGUAUUGUUAUGGUUAAUGUCGAUCACUCUGAUUAUUCAAAGCCAACCAAUCAUGUGAACUUAUGUUCUCCUGAUGUAAUCUUGCAAACUACUCCAAAAGCUGUUGUGAAGCUCAAUGAGGCAGUAGUUGAUGUCCAUAAAGUUGGUAGCUCAAACUUUGCAGCUAGGUGUCAAGAGCUAUCUAGAUCAAAUGAUGUUACUUACAACAAGCUGCACAGUUUUGCUGCCCCUGCAACAAUUUAUCGUAAUCUUAUAAAGGUUGCUAAUAGCCCGGAAUUAGAGAUCCUGUCAGACACGCCUGUUGUUUCUAGUGCUCAUCUUCUAAGGUUCCUGCAUGUUCGAAAGGUGCUCCAUCAUUUCAGCCCCUUGGUGGUUCUACAACUAGUUCUUCUGCAGUUACUGCUCAAGAAAGGCGUGAUCAUCUUGCAAUGGUUCAGAUUGCAAGUCAUCCAGAGUGGUGCAAGUACGAGGCUAUCCGAUAUGAAAGAGCUUACUGUAGUUAUCGAAACAAUUCUGGAUGGUACUAAUGCUGAGAUUGUUGGUAAUGCUUUCAAUGGUGCUAAUAGCGCUUUUCCUAUGUGGAGAAGCAACAUGCUGUACUUCCCUAUUUGUAGGUCCAGUCAUUGGUUUUCUUUUGUGGUUUGCUUGAAGGAGAAACUGUUUGUCUUCCUCGAUUCAUUAUAUGGCGAGUUCUCUGAUUUCCACCUAGCCAUUCAUGAUCCGAUUGUUAACAACUUCAUCAAUCUAUGGGACACAUAUGUGACUCCUAUAUUGAGGAAGCGUAUUGACUUUGAAAAUUUCGACAUUGUGUAUCCUGCGGUCCCUCAGCAAAAUAACACGUAUGAUUGUGGUGUUUUCUCUGUUAUGUACAUGAAGCACUGGUCUCCUAGGACUCCAAUCGGCAAUCUUUUUACGCAAGCUGAUAUAGAUAACAUCAGGAUCAAGCUCGCAAAUGAAGUUUAUUUCAGCCAUUUCAACACUGCUGACAAGUCUCUUGUCACAAACUUCUUUGGUGACGUGCAGAACUAG
rnacentral:rRNA from 1 species